UACGUAGGGGGCAAGCGUUGUCCGGAUUUAUUGGGCGUAAAGGGCUCGUAGGCGGCCAACUAAGUCGGACGUGAAAUCCCUCAGCUUAACUGGGGAACUGCGUCCGAUACUGGAUGGCUUGGAUUUGGGAGAGGGAUGCGGAAUUCCAGGUGUAGCGGUGAAAUGCGUAGAUAUCUGGAGGAACACCGGUGGCGAAGGCGGCAUCCUGGACCAACAUUGACGCUGAGGAGCGAAAGCUAGGGGAGCAAACGGG
rnacentral:rRNA from 1 species